CCUACGGGAGGCAGCAGUGGGGAAUAUUGGGCAAUGGAGGAAACUCUGACCCAGCAACGCAGCGUGAAUGAUGAAGGUCUUCGGAUUGUAAAGUUCUUUUCUAAGGGAAGAAGAAAGUGACGGUACCUUAGGAAUAAGCCUCGGCUAACUACGUGCCAGCAGCCGCGGUACUACGUAGAAGGCAAGCGUUAUCCGGAAUGACUGGGCGUAAAGGGUGCGUAGGUGGUUUGACAAGUUGGUAGCUUAACACCGGGGCUCAACCUCGGCACUACUACCAAAACUGUCGGACUUGAGUGCAGUAGGGGCAAAUGGAAUUCCUAGUGUAGCGGUGGAAUGCGUAGAGAGUAGGAGGAACACCAGUGGCGAAGGCGAUUUGCUGGACUGUAACUGACACUGAGGCACGAAAGCGUGGGGAGCAAACAGGAUUAGAUACCCCUGUAGUC
rnacentral:rRNA from 1 species